UGGGGAAUAUUUCACAAUGGGGGAAACCCUGAUGCAGCGACGCCGCGUGAGCGAAGAAGGCUUUCGAGUCGUAAAGCUCUGUCCUAUGAGAAGAUAAUGACGGUAUCAUAGGAGGAAGCCCUGGCUAAAUACGUGCCAGCAGCCGCGGUAAUACGUAUGGGGCGAGCGUUGUCCGGAAUUAUUGGGCGUAAAGGGUACGUAGGCGGUUUUUUAAGUCAGGUGUCAAAGCGUGGAGCUUAACUCCAUUAAGCACUUGAAACUGAAAGACUUGAGUGAAGGAGAGGAAAGUGGAAUUCCUAGUGUAGCGGUGAAAUGCGUAGAUAUUAGGAGGAAUACCGGUGGCGAAGGCGACUUUCUGGACUUUUACUGACGCUCAGGUACGAAAGCGUGGGGAGCAAACAGG
rnacentral:rRNA from 1 species